AGCGAACGCUGGCGGCAGGCCUAACACAUGCAAGUCGAACGAACCUUUCGGGGUUAGUGGCGGACGGGUGAGUAACACGUGGGGACGUGCCUUUAGGUUCGGAAUAACUCAGGGAAACUUGUGCUAAUACCGAAUGUGCCCUUCGGGGGAAAGAUUUAUCGCCUUUAGAGCGGCCCGCGUCUGAUUAGCUAGUUGGUUGAGGUAAUGGCUCACCAAGGCGACGAUCAGUAGCUGGUCUGAGAGGAUGAUCAGCCACAUUGGGACUGAGACACGGCCCAAACUCCUACGGGAGGCAGCAGUGGGGAAUCUUGCGCAAUGGGCGAAAGCCUGACGCAGCCAUGCCGCGUGAAUGAUGAAGGUCUUAGGAUUGUAAAAUUCUUUCACCGGGGACGAUAAUGACGGUACCCGGAGAAGAAGCCCCGGCUAACUUCGUG
rnacentral:rRNA from 1 species